GUUUUGCGUUAGGGAUUGAGGCUUUGUUGAAGCUCUUUUUGUUUUGUUUCUCGACUCAACUAGAAGUGACAAAACAAAAAAGCGACUGCCGAAAGCCCGACCCAAA
rnacentral:misc_RNA from 1 species